GGAUGAACGCUGGCGGCGUGCUUAACCCAUGCAAGUCGAACGAAGCACCUUGAUUUGAUUCUUCGGAUGAAGAUCUUGGUGACUGAGUGGCGGACGGGUGAGUAACGCGUGGGUAACCUGCCUCAUACAGGGGGAUAACAGUUAGAAAUGACUGCUAAUACCGCAUAAGACCACAGCACCGCAUGGUGCAGGGGUAAAAACUCCGGUGGUAUGAGAUGGACCCGCGUCUGAUUAGGUAGUUGGUGGGGUAACGGCCUACCAAGCCGACGAUCAGUAGCCGACCUGAGAGGGUGACCGGCCACAUUGGGACUGAGACACGGCCCAAACUCCUACGGGAGGCAGCAGUGGGGAAUAUUGCACAAUGGGGGAAACCCUGAUGCAGCGACGCCGCGUGAGCGAUGAAGUAUUUCGGUAUGUAAAGCUCUAUCAGCAGGGAAGAAAAUGACGGUACCUGACUAAGAAGCACCGGCUAAAUACGUG
rnacentral:rRNA from 1 species